rnacentral:rRNA from 1 species
UACGAAGGGGGCUAGCGUUGCUCGGAAUCACUGGGCGUAAAGCGCACGUAGGCGGAUCUUUAAGUCAGGGGUGAAAUCCCGGAGCUCAACUCCGGAACUGCCUUUGAUACUGAGGGUCUCGAGUCCGGGAGAGGUGAGUGGAACUGCGAGUGUAGAGGUGAAAUUCGUAGAUAUUUGGAGGAAUACCGGCGGCGAAGGCGGCCUUCUGGGCCAUUCUUGACACUGAGACGCGAAAGCGUGGGUAGCAAACAGG